UACGAGACUCAGUGUUACUGUCAUAAGCGACCAGAGUGUGUAUGUGUUGCGAUUUCUUGCGGAAAAACUAGUGUUCCUCCAUAAUUAUGACUUGAAAUUGAACGAAAUAAGAAUGGAGGAGCGGCGAGUGGCAGAUUAUUUUGUUGUCGCAGGGCUGCCGAAAAACACCCUUGCCACUUGGGGACUUUCUUGUGAUGGUGCACCCCUAAAGUCCACACACAAUCUCCCUCCAAUAACUGACAUAACUGUCAUUAAUCGCUCUCUAGGGGAAGUCACACCUGAUGGAUACUUUUGUAUAGAACUUACACCAUCAGGUCUGGUAGCCAAUCUCAAUCAUGGAGCCUUGCGUUCUCCCGAAAUGUUUUUGUGCUAUAGACGUGGGAGGGAUAAGCAACCUCUUUGUGGACAUCGG